rnacentral:rRNA from 1 species
GAUGAAUGCUGGCGGCGUGCCUAACACAUGCAAGUCGAGCGGUAACAGGUCUAGUUUACUAGAUGCUGACGAGCGGCGGACGGCUGAGUAACGCGUGGGAAUCUGCCCCAAAGUGAGGGAUAACUGCCCGAAAGGGUAGCUAAUACCGCAUAUGGUCUUCGGAUUAAAGUAUUUAUACGCUUUGGGAGGAGCCCGCGUCGGAUUAGGUUGUUGGUAGGGUAAUGGCCUACCAAGCCGACGAUGGGUAGCCGGCCUGAGAGGGUGAACGGCCACACUGGGACUGAGACACGGCCCAGACUCCUACGGGAGGCAGCAGUUGGGAAUCUUCGGCAAUGGGCGCAAGCCUGACCGAGCAACGCCGCGUGAGUGAUGAAGGUUUUCGGAUUGUAAAGCUCUGUCUUCCGGGACGAUAAUGACGGUACCGGAGGAGGAAGCCACGGGCUAACUACGUG